UUUAUACGUCGAAUUUUGGUCGAGUCGAAUGCAAUUAAGACAAUAGAUAAUGAGAUGAUAAACCUCAUUAAGCUUCAUUAUCUAUUGUUUGAAUUGCAUUCGACGCGACCGAAAUUCGGCGUAUAAA
rnacentral:miRNA from 1 species